GCCCAGCGGGAACAUGUUUCAGAUGGGACUGGAGGUCCUGGAGCCCAUCCUGAUCCUCUGGGUUGGAAUUUCUGACUCCUCUCCGCCUUGACUCAGAAUAGGAACCGGUAUCCUGACCGCGCGCUGCUUUUUAUAGAAUUCAACUUUCUGGCCAACUUCCUCCAGAGAUCAUCCCUCAUCGGCUCUCAACGGUACGCCAAUCAUCCGCUGGAAGGGAGGGGAGCACGGACCUGUGUGCCCCAAACACAGCCCAGGCCCAGAGCACAAGACAGACAGCAGGGACGGCGUCUGGCGCGGGUGCCCGGCCUGGUGUCCCAGGCAAAAAGAGAGUGUCAAGGAGGAGAAGGCAUAACAUGCCUGACUCCAUUAUACAGACACACCAAGUCAGCACUUCAACUCAAGAGACCUCCCAAAACAGACAUGGCACAGAAACACACUGUUGGAAGAAAUUCCCCUUCCUUCUGUGGACAUACUGGAAUAGGAGACCGUCCGUGUGGCUCCCUCUCGGGGCCCCUGGGGAGCCCUACGGUGGUCACAGCGGUCUUUCCAGCACAGAAUCUGAGCCGCCCAGACUUCUCCCAUGAAGCCGAUGACGCUGACCGCCAGUUCUGAACACGGGGCCCGGCGUCGGGCCCCCUCACCGCAUCCUCAUGCUGACACCCACAGGAAGAGACUGAAGCUGAAGUAGAUAAAGUGACUGGCCCAAGGUCACUCCUUGGUAAACUGUGGGUCCAGGCUGCCAACUCAGGUCUCAAGCUUUGAGCCCCAGAUCUCAUGCUUUUCACCCUAAGGGCUUCUAAAGUAAAGGUGGGUUGGGAACCUCAGGUGCUAGGUUUGGCCUUGAUGUCUAACAUUUCUGAACUCUCUUACUGUUAAGCAAAUUAAAAUAGGAAUAUCGCAUCCCACAAGCCUUUUACAUACAAGGAUUCAGCCACCUGUGCUUGGGGAGAGAGGGACAGUGUCAUGAGUAUAGGUAGCUCCCAUAGCAGGCUACGGGAUGUGUGCAUGUCCAGGGUGAGUUUUGGGUGGGACCUGAGGUUGGCUAUACCUUGUCAGGCUCAGCAAUCACUAACCUCUCCUCGUAUGUGGCCUUGGCUGCCCUGAGUGGCAGUCCAGUGUUUAUAAAUGUUUUUAACGUGUUUAAGGACCGUCAUUUCUCACACAAUAUGCCCCCUAAAUACAAGAAAAGCACUUCAUUGGUUCUCCACCAAAGAACAAUGUGGGAUUCUGGCUGGUCAGAACCUAAUGUAUUGAGAGAUGGUCUAUGAUGACCAAUGUGGCUGCUUUCUAAAGGAUUUUUGAGGGAUAUAUGUGACUAUUACCAAAUACGCUGAUUUUUGAUCCCAAGAUAUACCUGAGAAUUAUUGGGAAAACAUCAAAACCAGACCUUAAUUUAUGAAGUCAUAAAUUAAAACAAGAAAGAAAAACAAUUUUAACUUUGACUUUUUUUUUGGAGUGCUAGGCAUGGUUCUAUGAAAUUGACCUGUACUAACUCAUUUAAUCAUCAUAACAUGCCUAUUUGGUAACUUGCCCAAGGACAUAACUAGGGAGUGGUAGAAGCAGGAGUUGAACUCAGGUAGAUGGGGCCCCUCUACACUAAACCACAUUCUUAUCUCCACAACCGGGUGGACUUGGAGUAGAGGUCCUCAUCCUUCCAUCUCCCCAGACCUGACCCUGUCCUGUUACCACUGGGAAGUCAACAAAGACUCGUUUUGAUGUGUUUCAACCUCUUAGAUUGUUGACAGGCCUUUACAAUUCUUUGACAAGGGAAAAAAGGAACAGUUCAACAUUUCGAGGCAAUCUAUGGCUUGGUAAACACACCGAAAGGAGUGGGAACAGGGUGAGAACGUGAGAGAGACAUGGCUUCACCGUUACCUGCAGAGGGUGUUAGAACACAUAACCGUGGCCGGUCACUCUCCAUGGAAAACACAACCUCUGUGCAAUGUUUUGUUCGUGUUAUUGUUUGUUCGUGUGAAGAGAUUACAAACGAAAAGUUAAAUAUUAUAGUGAGAACUCUAUUAAUUGGGCCAGGCGUUGAAUGCAGGCCUGUAUUUGUCCUAACUCUGAAAAAUGCUUUGUGAAGCCCAAUUCUUUCAGGCAAGGCAGCAGGGGAAGGGCUUGGCCUACUCAAGACCGCUGUUUUCAAGCAAGCUGACAGCUGCUUUGCACUUUGCCAGGGUUCCUUUAAUGAGCUCAUGACAAAGAGCUCUGAGGUGUCCUCUGCAGCCAGUCCUGGAGGAGCUCUGCGUAGGAAACACUGACGGAGUCCUUAGCACCUGAAAUACCAGAAACACUCUGAAAACGCAUAAUGCAAUGAAUGGAUCUGCCACUUCAGACUGGUCUUCUGUAACCGGCAGGUCUUUUUCGGUGGCAAGCAACAAAAAAACGACUCCGAUUCGCUGAAACAGAAAAGAGUGCUUGCCAGCGUUCAGCAUGGCUGACUCCCUAUGCUUAAAGGACACCAGCAGGAUUCUGACUUUGCCCAUUUCCUGGUUUUUUGUCCUUGGUGUUCACUCCCUUCGCAAGCAGGCUUUCCCUAAAUGGUGUUAAGACUGUUCCUGGCACUUUCAGCCUUAUAUUCUACCAGCUUAGCAUCCCUGUCUAAAGAGAGGACCUAUUUCUGAGUCGUUCCAGCAAAAAUAUCCCAGGGCUGUCUCUGAUUGGCCCAGCUUGGGUCACAUGCUCAUCCUUGAGCCAAUCCUAGUGGCCAGAGCAAUGUAGCACUCUCAUUAGUCAGGUCUGAGUCACGCCUAUCUUUAAAACUUGGAUGUGAGCAGGCCAGCUUGAACCACAAGGAUCAAGAGCGAGGAGCAUUUCCCCAGAGAACUAUCCAGAUUCUGAUGCCAGACAAUGGGGGCAGGGAGGAAGGGGUGGUGGAUGCUGAACAGGCAAAGCCAAUGGAAGUCCUUGGAACCUUCUCUCUGAAUUAUCUCCAACAAGUAAAGUGUUACUAAGCAGAGGAACUUCAUGUGGUUUACAAGCAUAAUUUAGAAAUUUGCUUAGAUAUCUGAGGUUUCAAACAUGGCCUGUUUUGGCUACAACAUUUUGGAAAUAUUUUCUGCAAAUUGCACUCACCCACAUGGCUUGAAGCUUUGGGAUUUUUCGUUCUUUCUAUCUUUCUUUUCUUUCUUCCCCUUUUUUUUUUUUUUAAAUUCUUGGAACAAGUCCUUAAGAAAAAAAGAGGAACAAAAAUGCCACAGAAUGAUUCGAAACAGGCGACUCUGAGAGCAGUGGAGAUGGCAAAUUAGCACAGUGGAUGGAGAUUCCUUCUGUCCUGAUGACAUUUCUUAGGGUUCCUCUCGGCCUCUCUUUUUUUUUAUAUAUGUUAAUGACUGUGUUCCUAAUUACAAAAGCAAUACCCGCCCAGUUCAGAAAGAACUGAAUGCAUACGAAAGUACUACACACACACUCACGCACACACAUGUACACGCACACGCACACACCCGCGUGCACACACACUAUGGCCCGCCAUUUUAGUUAGAAACAUCUAGUUAAUGAGUACCAUGUCCUCGGCCUUGUCCAGGCACUAUCCUAGCCCCAUUUCACAAAUGAGGACGCUGAGGUUUACAGCAUCCAAGUUGAUAAGUGGAGGACUUAGGAAUUAAACUCAUGUCUUUGUGUCCUCAAAGCCCUUGUCCUUAUCCAUUCUGUUAUUCCUCCAAAAUUAAGAGUUCCAAAAUGAACCUUACAAAAAUGGCAGAUUGACCAUAAUGUUCUAUCACCUGCUUUUUUAAAAAAUAUAUAUAUUUUAUUGAUUUUUUUUUUACAGAGAGGAAGGGAGAGGAAUAGAGAGUUAGAAACAUCGAUGAGAGAGAAACAUCAAUCAGCGGCCUCCUGCACACCUCCCACUGGGAUGUGCCUGCAACCAAGGUACAUGCCCUUGACUGGAAUCGAACCUGGGACCCUUCAGUCCUCAGGCUGAUGCUCCAUCCACUGAGCCAAACCAGUCAGGAAACCUGCU